rnacentral:tRNA from 1 species
GCCUGGGUGGCGGAAUAGGUAGACGCAAGGGACUUAAAAUCCCUCGGUGCCUGGCACCGUACCGGUUCGAUCCCGGUCCCAGGCA